rnacentral:rRNA from 1 species
CCUACGGGUGGCAGCAGUGAGGAAUAUUGGUCAAUGGGCGCGAGCCUGAACCAGCCAAGUAGCGUGAAGGAUGACUGCCCUACGGGUUGUAAACUUCUUUUAUAAAGGAAUAAAGUGAGGCACGCGUGCCUUUUUGUAUGUACUUUAUGAAUAAGGAUCGGCUAACUCCGUGCCAGCAGCCGCGGUAAUACGGAGGAUCCGAGCGUUAUCCGGAUUUAUUGGGUUAAAGGGGAGCGUAGAUGGGUUGUUAAGUCAGUUGUGAAAGUUUGCGGCUCAACCGUAAAAUUGCAAUUGAUACUGGGAGCCUUGGGUACGGUUGGGGAAGGCGAAUUUCGAGGUGUAGCGGUGAAAGGCUUGGAUAUCA